AACGAACGCUGGCGGCAGGCCUAACACAUGCAAGUCGAGCGAGGACUUCGGUCCUAGCGGCGGACGGGUGAGUAACGCGUGGGAACGUGCCCUUUGCUUCGGAAUAGCCCUGGGAAACUGGGAGUAAUACCGGAUGAGCCCUUUGGGGGAAAGAUUUAUCGGCGAAGGAUCGGCCCGCGUUGGAUUAGGUAGUUGGUGGGGUAAUGGCCUACCAAGCCGACGAUCCAUAGCUGGUUUGAGAGGAUGAUCAGCCACACUGGGACUGAGACACGGCCCAGACUCCUACGGGAGGCAGCAGUGGGGAAUCUUAGACAAUGGGGGAAACCCUGAUCUAGCCAUGCCGCGUGAGCGAUGAAGGCAUUAGGGUUGUAAAGCUCUUUCAGCUGGGAAGAUAAUGACGGUACCAGCAGAAGAAGCCCCGGCUAACUCCGUG
rnacentral:rRNA from 1 species